rnacentral:rRNA from 1 species
UACGUAGGGUGCAAGCGUUGUCCGGAAUUAUUGGGCGUAAAGAGCUCGUAGGCGGUUUGUCACGUCUGCUGUGAAAACUCGGGGCUUAACUCCGGGCCUGCAGUGGGUACGGGCAGACUAGAGUGCGGUAGGGGAGACUGGAAUUCCUGGUGUAGCGGUGAAAUGCGCAGAUAUCAGGAGGAACACCGGUGGCGAAGGCGGAUCUCUGGGCCUGUUCUGACGCUGAGGCGCGAAAGCUAGGGGAGCGAACAGG